AGCGUAGGUGGCUUGAUAAGUCAGAUGUGAAAGCCCCGGGUUUAACCUGGGAACGGCAUCUGAUACUGUUAGGCUAGAGUAGGUGAGAGGAAGGUAGAAUUCCAGGUGUAGCGGUGAAAUGCGUAGAGAUCUGGAGGAAUACCGAUGGCGAAGGCAGCCAUCUGGCCUAAUACUGACACUGAGGUGCGAAAGCAUGGGGAGCAAACAG
rnacentral:rRNA from 1 species